rnacentral:lncRNA from 1 species
CCGCUCGCUUGGGCUCGGCGCGGACCCGCCCGGGCGCGCUCCUCCUGCCGGCUCCCGGCAUCCCACCGCCCUGCUCAGCGCUGGCCGGUGAUCCCUGCCGCCCGGGAGCAUCCAGUGUAGAAGCUCGCCCACCCGAGGUCGCGGUGGAAGUCUGGACCGCCAAGCUGUGUGACUUGUUUACUGGCAGGUAUUCCUCUGAUACAGUGGGUAAUGACUCUGCUCUUCAGCCUGAGAGUGGUUCAAAAUGUAAGUUCAGCCCGCUAAAUAAUUAAAUAUCGAUAACUCUGGAGAACUAUGCAUAACAGUUCUUCCCAUUUUCUGUCCUUCGGCCCAAGACUCUAGCUUCAUAAGAGCCUAGAAGGAGGUGAUAUCUUCUCCUGGGGCGAUGCGGAACCUAGACGAACAUUUCUUCAGUAUACGACAUUGUGACUAUAUGUGUGUCACCACAGCCAAUGAUGGGUGUCCUUCUCUGCCUCUCCCCACCA